rnacentral:rRNA from 1 species
UACGUAGGGUGCAAGCGUUGUCCGGAAUCAUUGGGCGUAAAGAGCGUGUAGGCGGCCCGAUAAGUCCGCUGUGAAAGUCCAGGGCUCAACCCUGGAAUGCCGGUGGAUACUGUCGGGCUCGAAUCCGGAAGAGGUGAGUGGAAUUCCUGGUGUAGCGGUGAAAUGCGCAGAUAUCAGGAGGAACACCAAUGGCGAAGGCGGCGCUCUGGGCCGGAACUGACGCUGAGGAGCGAAAGCGUGGGUAGCAAACAGG